AAAUUUCUAUCCGUCGCUCGGGUAGUCAAGGCUCCUCCACCACCUCUUCCCGCAGCUCGUGGAGGCGCCGCUACUCUUCCUGCGCGUGCUGGAGCGACCGUCGUCGAACACCCUCAUCUGCUUGUGGAGACGCCACGGCAUCCUUGCCGGCACCGAGCAAGGCGCAUAUGUCGAAGAAGGCCAGCGCUGUGCAGUGUCCCCGUGCCGCUGUACGAUGUCCCGUGGCGCCGAGCGCUCCGGCAAGCACCCAGCAGCUAC
rnacentral:lncRNA from 1 species